AAACUGAAGAGUUUGAUCCUGGCUCAGAACGAACGCUGGCGGCGUGCUUAACACAUGCAAGUCGAACGCGAAAGCAUCCUUCGGGGUGCGAGUAGAGUGGCGCACGGGUGAGUAACACGUAGACAACCUGCCUUCCAGUUCGGGAUAACCUCUUGAAAGAGGGGCUAAUACCGGAUAACACGCUUCAUCGCAUGGUGAGGCGUUGAAAGGCUUGCUGCUGGAAGAGGGGUCUGCGGGACAUUAGCUUGUUGGUGGGGUAACGGCCCACCAAGGCUGCGAUGUCUAGCGGGUCUGAGAGGAUGAUCCGCCACACUGGAACUGAGACACGGUCCAGACUCCUACGGGAGGCAGCAGUGGGGAAUUUUGCGCAAUGGGCGAAAGCCU
rnacentral:rRNA from 1 species